CCUACGGGUGGCAGCAGUGGGGAAUAUUGGGCAAUGGGCGCAAGCCUGACCCAGCAACGCCGCGGGAAGGAAGAAGGCUUUCGGGUUGUAAACUUCUUUUCUCAGGGACGAAGCAAGUGACGGUAACUGAGGAAUAAGCCACGGCUAACGACGUGCCAGCAGCCGCGGUAAUACGUAGGGGGCAAGCGUUAUUCGGAUUUACUGGGUGUAAAGGGCGUGUAGGCGGGACUGCAAGGCAGAUGUGAAAACCACGGGCUCAACCUGUGGCCUGCAUUUGAAACUGUAGUUCUUGAGUACUGGAGAGGCAGACGGAAUUCCUAGUGUAGCGGUGAAAUGCGUAGAUAUUAGGAGGAACACCAGUGGCGAAGGCGGUCUGCUGGACAGCAACUGACGCUGAGGCGCGAAAGCGUGGGGAGCAAACAGGAUUAGAUACCCUUGUAGUC
rnacentral:rRNA from 1 species